rnacentral:tRNA from 1 species
GCGGCUGUGGUGUAGUCUGGUUAUCACUCGGGCUUGCCAAGCCCGCGACCCGGGUUCAAAUCCCGGCAGCCGCA